GAUGAACGCUGGCGGCGUGCCUAAUACAUGCAAGUCGAGCGAACGGACGAGAAGCUUGCUUCUCUGAUGUUAGCGGCGGACGGGUGAGUAACACGUGGAUAACCUACCUAUAAGACUGGGAUAACUUCGGGAAACCGGAGCUAAUACCGGAUAAUAUUUUGAACCGCAUGGUUCAAAAGUGAAAGACGGUCUUGCUGUCACUUAUAGAUGGAUCCGCGCUGCAUUAGCUAGUUGGUAAGGUAACGGCUUACCAAGGCAACGAUGCAUAGCCGACCUGAGAGGGUGAUCGGCCACCCUGGAACUGAGACACGGUCCCGACUCCUACGGGAGGCAGCAGUAGGGAAUCUUCCGCAAUGGGCGAAAGCCUGACGGAGCAACGCCGCGUGAGUGAUGAAGGUCUUCGGAUCGUAAAACUCUGUUAUUAGGGAAGAACAUAUGUGUAAGUAACUGUGCACAUCUUGACGGUACCUAAUCAGAAAGCCACGGCUAACUACGUG
rnacentral:rRNA from 1 species